UCGGAUUAGCUAGUUGGCGGGGUAAAGGCCCACCAAGGCGACGAUCCGUAGCUGGUCUGAGAGGAUGAUCAGCCACACUGGAACUGAGACACGGUCCAGACUCCUACGGGAGGCAGCAGUGGGGAAUAUUGGACAAUGGGCGCAAGCCUGAUCCAGCCAUGCCGCGUGUGUGAAGAAGGCCUUCGGGUUGUAAAGCACUUUUGUCCGGAAAGAAAAGCUUAGGGUUAAUAACCUUGAGUCAUGACGGUACCGGAAGAAUAAGCACCGGCUAACUUCGUGCCAGCAGCCGCGGUAAUACGAAGGGUGCAAGCGUUACUCGGAAUUACUGGGCGUAAAGCGUGCGUAGGUGGUUUGUUAAGUCUGAUGUGAAAGCCCUGGGCUCAACCUGGGAAUGGCAUUGGAAACUGGCUUACUAGAGUGCGGUAGAGGGUAGUGGAAUUCCCGGUGUAGCAGUGAAAUGCGUAGAUAUCGGGAGGAACAUCUGUGGCGAAGGCGACUACCUGGACCAGCACUGACACUGAGGCACGAAAGCGUGGGGAGCAAACAGGAUUAGAUACCCUGAUAGUCCACGCCCUAAACGAUGCGAACU
rnacentral:rRNA from 1 species